rnacentral:rRNA from 1 species
UGCAGUCGACGGUGAACACGGAGCUUGCUCUGUGGGAUCAGUGGCGAACGGGUGAGUAACACGUGAGCAACCUGCCCCUGACUCUGGGAUAAGCGCUGGAAACGGCGUCUAAUACUGGAUAUGUGACGUGACCGCAUGGUCUGCGUUUGGAAAGAUUUUUCGGUUGGGGAUGGGCUCGCGGCCUAUCAGCUUGUUGGUGAGGUAAUGGCUCACCAAGGCGUCGACGGGUAGCCGGCCUGAGAGGGUGACCGGCCACACUGGGACUGAGACACGGCCCAGACUCCUACGGGAGGCAGCAGUGGGGAAUAUUGCACAAUGGGCGAAAGCCUGAUGCAGCAACGCCGCGUGAGGGAUGACGGCCUUCGGGUUGUAAACCUCUUUUAGCAGGGAAGAAGCGAAAGUGACGGUACCUGCAGAAAAAGCGCCGGCUAACUACGUGCCAGCAGCCGCGGUAAUACGUAGGGCGCAAGCGUUAUCCGGAAUUAUUGGGCGUAAAGAGCUCGUAGGCGGUUUGUCGCGUCUGCUGUGAAAUCCCGAGGCUCAACCUCGGGCCUGCAGUGGGUACGGGCAGACUAGAGUGCGGUAGGGGAGAUUGGAAUUCCUGGUGUAGCGGUGGAAUGCGCAGAUAUCAGGAGGAACACCGAUGGCGAAGGCAGAUCUCUGGGCCGUAACUGACGCUGAGGAGCGAAAGGGUGGGGAGCAAACAGGCUUAGAUACCCUGGUAGUCCACCCCGUAAACGUUGGGAACUAGUUGUGGGGUCCAUUCCAC